UAGGGAAUCUUGCGCAAUGGGCGAAAGCCUGACGCAGCCAUGCCGCGUGAAUGAUGAAGGUCUUAGGAUUGUAAAAUUCUUUCACCGGGGAAGAUAAUGACGGUACCCGGAGAAGAAGCCCCGGCUAACUUCGUGCCAGCAGCCGCGGUAAUACGAAGGGGGCUAGCGUUGCUCGGAAUUACUGGGCGUAAAGGGCGCGUAGGCGGAUAGUUUAGUCAGAGGUGAAAGCCCAGGGCUCAACCUUGGAAUUGCCUUUGAUACUGGCUAUCUUGAGUUCGGGAGAGGUGAGUGGAAUGCCGAGUGUAGAGGUGAAAUUCGUAGAUAUUCGGCGGAACACCAGUGGCGAAGGCGACUCACUGGCCCGAUACUGACGCUGAGGCGCGAAAGCGUGGGGAGCAAACA
rnacentral:rRNA from 1 species